rnacentral:rRNA from 1 species
AGUGAACGCUGGCGGCAGGCCUAACACAUGCAAGUCGAGCGGCAGCGGGCUGUAGCAAUACAGUGCCGGCGAGCGGCGGACGGGUGAGGAAUACAUCGGAAUCUACCUUGUCGUGGGGGAUAACGUAGGGAAACUUACGCUAAUACCGCAUACGAACUACGGUUGAAAGCGGAGGACCGCAAGGCUUCGCGCGAUUGGAUGAGCCGAUGUCGGAUUAGCUAGUUGGCGGGGUAAUGGCCCACCAAGGCGACGAUCCGUAGCUGGUCUGAGAGGAUGAUCAGCCACACUGGAACUGAGACACGGUCCAGACUCCUACGGGAGGCAGCAGUGGGGAAUAUUGGACAAUGGGCGCAAGCCUGAUCCAGCCAUGCCGCGUGUGGGAAGAAGG